AUAAAUACAGAUGGCUGGAAUGCUUCUGUAUUCAAAGCUCCGGCGCCUGAGGAUGAGUCUGCGGCCUAUCAGGUUGUAGUCAGGGUCAAGACCUGACUAGCCAGCGAUGGGUAUGGGGUGUGAGAGCACUUGCCCAGAGAUGGUUUCUGAGACACGAAACCAGGCCCUACGGGGCGCAGCAGGCGCGAAAACUUCGCAAUGCGGGAAACCGUGACGAGGGAACUCCGAGUGUCUAUGCAUUGCAUAGACUGUUUUUUAGCCUAAAUAGCUAUUAGAGUAAGGGGUGGGCAAGACCGGUGCCAGCCGCCGCGGUAACACCGGCACCCCGAGUGGUAGCCACUAUUAUUGGGCCUAAAGCGUUCGUAGCCGGUUUGGUAAAUUCUUGGGUAAAUCGUACCGCUCAACGGUGCGGAUUCCGGGGACACUACCAGACUUGAGACCGGGGGAGAUCAGAGGUACUUGCGGGGGAGCGGUGAAAUGUUGUAAUCCCGCAGGGACCACCAGUGGCGAAGGCGUCUGAUCAGAACGGCUCUGACGGUGAGGAACGAAACCCUGGGGCGCAAACGGGAUUAGAUACCCCGGUAGUCCAGGGCGUAAACGCUGCUGACUUGGUGUUGGGGAUCCUACGAGGAUGUCCAGUGCUGGCGCGAAGGUAUUAAGUCAGCCGCCUGGGGAGUACGGUCGCAAGACUGAAACUUAAAGGAAUUGGCGGGGGAAGCACUGCA
rnacentral:rRNA from 1 species